GNCCUUGCGGAGGGAUCAUUACCGAGUUUACAACUCCCAAACCCCUGUGAACAUACCUAUACGUUGCCUCGGCGGAUCAGCCCGCGCCCCGUAAAACGGGACGGCCCGCCCGAGGACCCCUAAACUCUGUUUUUAGUGGAACUUCUGAGUAAAACAAACAAAUAAAUCAAAACUUUCAACAACGGAUCUCUUGGUUCUGGCAUCGAUGAAGAACGCAGCAAAAUGCGAUAAGUAAUGUGAAUUGCAGAAUUCAGUGAAUCAUCGAAUCUUUGAACGCACAUUGCGCCCGCCAGUAUUCUGGCGGGCAUGCCUGUUCGAGCGUCAUUUCAACCCUCAAGCUCAGCUUGGUGUUGGGACUCGCGGUAACCCGCGUUCCCCAAAUCGAUUGGCGGUCACGUCGAGCUUCCAUAGCGUAGUAAUCAUACACCUCGUUACUGGUAAUCGUCGCGGCCACGCCGUUAAACCCCAACUUCUGAAUGUGACCUCGGAUCAUGCACGUAU
rnacentral:rRNA from 1 species